rnacentral:rRNA from 1 species
AAUAUUGCACAAUGGGCGCAAGCCUGGUGCAGCGACGCCGCGUGGGGGAUGACGGCCUUCGGGUUGUAAACCUCUUUCAGUAUCGGCGAAGCUUCCAAUUUUUCUUGGGGGUGACGGUAGGUACAGAAGAAACCCCGGCCAACUACGUGCCAGCCGCCGCGGUAAUACGUAGGGUGCGAGCGUUGUCCGGAAUUACUGGGCGUAAAGAGCUCGUAGGUGGUUUGUCGCGUUGUCCGUGAAAACUCACAGCUUAACUGUGGGCGUGCGGGCGAUACGGGCAGACUGGAGUACUGUAGGGGAGACUGGAAUUCCUGGUGUAGCGGUGGAAUGCGCAGAUAUCAGGAGGAACACCGGUGGCGAAGGCGGGUCUCUGGGCAGUAACUGACGCUGAGGAGCGAAAGCGUGGGGAGCGAACAGG